rnacentral:rRNA from 1 species
GACGAACGCUGGCGGCGUGCCUAAUACAUGCAAGUCGAACGCAGUGGGGACGGGUGCGUAACACGUGGGUAACCUCCCAUCAGAGGGGAGAAAACGUGGCAAAAGGUGCUAAACCGCUACUGAUGGAUGAACUCGCGGGGGAUAAGCUAGUUGGAGGGGUAACGGCUCACCAAGGCCACGAGGCAUAGCCGGCCUGAGAGGGUGAACGGCCACACUGGAACUGAGACACGGCCCAGACUCCUACGGGAGGCAGCAGUGGGGAAUCUUCGGCAAUGGACGAAAGUCUGACCGAGCAACGCCGCGUGAGUGAAGAAGGUUUUCGGAUCGUAAAACUCUUUUGUGAGAGAAGCGGUAUCUAACCAGAAAGCCACGGCUAACUACGUGCCAGCAGCCGCGGUAAUUC